rnacentral:rRNA from 1 species
AACGUAGGAGACAAACGUUAUCCGGAGUUACUGGGCGUAAAGGGCGUGUAGGCGGUUUGUUAAGUCUGGCGUGAAAGCUCUCGGCUAAACCGGGAGAGGUCGUUGGAUACUGGCAAACUAGAGGAUGGUAGAGGCGUGUGGAAUUCCGGGUGUAGUGGUGAAAUGCGUAGAGAUCCGGAGGAACACCAGCGGCGAAGGCGGCAUCCUGGACUGGUCCUGACACUCAUGAGCGAAAGCGUGGGGAGCGAUCCGG